rnacentral:rRNA from 1 species
UACGUAGGGGGCAAGCGUUGUCCGGAAUCACUGGGCGUAAAGCGCGCGCAGGCGGCUAUCUACGUCCGGGGUGAAAGCCCAGAGCUCAACUCUGGGAUUGCCUUGGAUACGGGAUGGCUUGAGGAUCGGAGAGGCAAGGGGAAUUCCACGUGUAGCGGUGAAAUGCGUAGAGAUGUGGAGGAACACCUGGUGGCGAAGGCG